rnacentral:rRNA from 1 species
UACGUAGGGGGCAAGCGUUGUCCGGAAUCAUUGGGCGUAAAGAGCGUGUAGGCGGCCCGAUAAGUCCGCUGUGAAAGUCCAGGGCUCAACCCUGGAAUGCCGGUGGAUACUGUCGGGCUCGAAUCCGGAAGAGGUGAGUGGAAUUCCUGGUGUAGCGGUGAAAUGCGCAGAUAUCAGGAGGAACACCGGUGGCGAAGGCGGCUCGCUGGAUCUUUUCUGACGCUGAGGCGCGAAAGCUAGGGGAGCAAACGGG